rnacentral:lncRNA from 1 species
CAUUCCCGGCUGGACGUCGGCCCCAGCUUCCGAGGCCUGCUUCACCUUCAGCACUUUGUAUCUGACACUUUGCUUCUUACACCAUCCUUUUUAACAACCUUGAGUUCUGUGAAUAUCGUUUUGCGCCUCAGGUUGCCAGGAAGGACUAAUCUUAGUUCACCGACAGUUAGUGGCGGUGAGUUCUGUUGAACAGCUGUUACAAGGCAUACUAAUUU